GCCGGGAUGGCCGAGCGGACCAAGGCGCAGGCCUGGAGCCCCUUCAGGAGGCCUGUAAGCCUGUGGGCCCUCCGGGCCCUCGUGGGUUCGAAUCCCACUCCCGGCG
rnacentral:tRNA from 1 species